rnacentral:rRNA from 1 species
GGGGCCAAGGUCCGGAACGCUUUGUGGUUCAACUGAUUUGAAGAGCUUGCUCAGAUAUGACGAUGAACAUUGCAAAGAGUGGCGAACGGGUGAGUAACACGUGGGAAACCUACCUCUUAGCAGGGGAUAACAUUUGGAAACAGAUGCUAAUACCGUAUAACAAUGACAACCGCAUGGUUGUUAUUUAAAAGAUGGUUCUGCUAUCACUAAGAGAUGGUCCCGCGGUGCAUUAGCUAGUUGGUAAGGUAAUGGCUUACCAAGGCGAUGAUGCAUAGCCGAGUUGAGAGACUGAUCGGCCACAAUGGGACUGAGACACGGCCCAUACUCCUACGGGAGGCAGCAGUAGGGAAUCUUCCACAAUGGGCGAAAGCCUGAUGGAGCAACGCCGCGUGUGUGAUGAAGGGUUUCGGCUCGUAAAACACUGUUGUAAGAGAAGAAUGACAUUGAGAGUAACUGUUCAAUGUGUGACGGUAUCUUACCAGAAAGGAACGGCUAAAUACGUGCCAGCAGCCGCGGUAAUACGUAUGUUCCAAGCGUUAUCCGGAUUUAUUGGGCGUAAAGCGAGCGCAGACGGUUAUUUAAGUCUGAAGUGAAAGCCCUCAGCUCAACUGAGGAAUUGCUUUGGAAACUGGAUGACUUGAGUGCAGUAGAGGAAAGUGGAACUCCAUGUGUAGCGGUGAAAUGCGUAGAUAUAUGGAAGAACACCAGUGGCGAAGGCGGCUUUCUGGACUGUAACUGACGUUGAGGCUCGAAAGUGUGGGUAGCAAACAGGAUUAGAUACCCUGGUAGUCCACACCGUAAACGAUGAGUGCUAGGUGUUUGAGGGUUUCCGCCCUUAAGUGCCGCAGCUAACGCAUUAAGCACUCCGCCUGGGGAGUACGACCGCAAGGUUGAAACUCAAAGGAAUUGACGGGGACCCGCACAAGCGGUGGAGCAUGUGGUUUAAUUCGAAGCAACGCGAAGAACCUUACCAGGUCUUGACAUCCCUUGACAACUCCAGAGAUGGAGCGUUCCCUUCGGGGACAAGGUGACAGGUGGUGCAUGGUUGUCGUCAGCUCGUGUCGUGAGAUGUUGGGUUAAGUCCCGCAACGAGCGCAACCCUUAUUACUAGUUGCCAGCAUUCAGUUGGGCACUCUAGUGAGACUGCCGGUGACAAACCGGAGGAAGGUGGGGAUGACGUCAAAUCAUCAUGCCCCUUAUGACCUGGGCUACACACGUGCUACAAUGGCGUAUACAACGAGUUGCCAACCCGCGAGGGUGAGCUAAUCUCUUAAAGUACGUCUCAGUUCGGAUUGUAGGCUGCAACUCGCCUACAUGAAGUCGGAAUCGCUAGUAAUCGCGGAUCAGCACGCCGCGGUGAAUACGUUCCCGGGUCUUGUACACACCGCCCGUCACACCAUGAGAGUUUGUAACACCCAAAGCCGGUGGGGUAACCUUCGGGAGCCAGCCGUCUAAAGGG